CAGGAUAUUAGCAUGAGCGGCAAUGCGGCAUCGAAGCUUGAUAAAUUGGCAGCACUGCUUUCUGGUUGUCACGAAAGUUCGUCUGCAGUGCAAAUGUUUACGUUUAAUCUUCACUCUUCAGAGUUCGUUCCAUGGUUCGUUCAGUGUCUCAGUGUCUCACGUCUCAGCCUUAUUAGCCAUAUAUGCUCACGAUUCAUAGCCCCACAAAUAUCUAAGUAAACUGUUGAACAGUAUAUCUAGCCUGAAAUAGCAAGAGUUCUAAUCUCCAGUCUACAUUGGACUCAACAUGUUACAUGCUUCAUCGUUCAACAAAUAUUGAUGCUGAAGGGAAAAUGCUAACAAGUGAGAAAAAAAAACAUUUAUCCAAAAGUGAAGAAUAGUAGAAGAAGGUAGCCCAGUUUUCGACUGCAUGUUCCAGGUUCGUCAGAGAGGAGAUUGAUCAAUUUCACUCAACUGUCGACUCGAAUAUUGGAUGUUUUUAAAAAAGAAAAUCUUCUGCAGACACAAGACACCAGAUCUUCAAAUCAGAAAUUCAAAUCUCAAAAAAGAUCUUCAACAGAUCUAGAAACACAAAGGUGAUGGAAUUCAUCUUUGUGGCCAAUAGAGCUCUACCGCUUGCAGCAUCUAGCCCGAUGUCGUUAAAGAUUUCCAUCACGGCCCCAUGGAUAACUCGCUUUUUUGGAUCUACUCAUUGGCCUCACCUCUGUUUCUGGCCUAAUGUCUCGUUUUUCUGCACAAACGGUCUCAACUCGUUGAGCAAAUUCGCUUUGUACGUAAGUUCGAACCCUCUAUAUGCGUGUCCCGCUGAGAAGAAAUGGCGACCAAAGCCGGCACCACGCGGGCAAUGGAAGCAGCUGGUGCUGUUGCCUUACAGCCACAGGCAGGAAAAAUAUGGUUUUCUUCAGGAAAUUGGAAAGCUGCUGGAGUAAUCUGGUGUUGAUGCUCAUUUGAUGCAUUUCGUGCCAGCUAGUGAAAGCCGAAAGGCAUGUCGAAUUCAAGUUGAGCUGCUGCGGGCUGUCUCUGGAAGCAAGCAAGAAGCAAUCCAGCCGUUGCGUUCAGUCAUUUGAACAGAAAUCUAAUGGCUGUCAAUAGGUGGCUGUCAAAAGUUGGCCGGAAUGUCCACCAAGUAGCGCGAGUGUCUUCAGGGACGCAUUUCGGCCAUUUUGUUCCAAGUCGCUGCAGCAGAAAUGGGCUGCUGGUCGUGACGUUUCUCACGAUGAAAAUUAAAAGGUGAUUUAGCAUGUGGAACACUUUGCUCAGUCAUUCAACUCAGACUUGGAAGUGCCUGUACAUUGCCGAAAUGGCGUGCCUCGUGUGUCUCGCUGUCUGUUCUUAGGCGUACUUCUCAUCCCAUGCAACAGUAAAAAGUAUUACAAACGCUUCUUUAAAGCUGUUGGGGUUAUCUUGUUGCAGCCAAAUGGUGAAAGGUGUGACGAAGACAGAUUGAACCGUUGUAUGCAGCAUGAGGUUGCAGUGUGAUCCAGAAGUAGCUUGGACCUGAAAUUGCUAUGCUGUUGUAGCAGAGCUGUUCCAUCUGGGUUCCUGACUUCAAAUUUUUAAGUUGUUGUUUGUGUUUUAAUCCAUGCCAUAUGAAAUUGCUCCGCCAGUGAUAUUUGUGUUCUGACUUGAAAGUGCUUGAUCUGUCGUCUUUUGAGUUGUCAAAUUCAAUCAUGCAGUAUACGACUGAGGCAACCUGAUCAAUAUCAGGUUUGACACAGUCGAGAACUGCUAGAUAAAACAAGCUUUCUGCGCCAAACAAAUAAUAACUUGCAUCAUGUUAUUAUCGCGGUAGAGAAAGCAACAGGCCCCCCCCCCCCUGGGGGUCAU
rnacentral:lncRNA from 1 species